ACAACAUGCGGGCGGGGAUCUUCUCUGACAUGUUUUGGUAUGCUCUGAUCUCUGACAUGGUUAGAAGCCGUUGCUGCUCCGCCCCAAGGACCCCGCCGAGCCGUCACCGUCGUCACUCUGGCUGACAUCAGAAGUACCACGCCACGUGAGAACGGAUCAGAAGGGGACCCACAGGAUCGGUCGAGGCGGGAGGCGAGCUCGCAGAAACUUCGGAGGCGACGUUUCCGUGCUGGACGAUGUGCUGCCUAAGGCGCGUGCGCGGCUGCGGAAAGCUGCGAGCUGUGGGCGUGGUCCAAGACAUGGUGGGCCUCCCACCAUGGAUGGAGCGCGAGCAGUGUCUUCUGAAGAGGAAGCCACCACCCUGGAGGCAUGACAGCGGCAGCCGGCGGCGCACAAACAUCCAGCGGCGGCCUGGCAGCAGCGCAGCGCUCGCAACCCACCACAGAACACCCCCCAAAGAAAGGAGCACCGCUGUUAGGCGCCGGCCGCUGUCGUCGUCUUGUCUGGAAACACCGCCGCUGCUCGCCGACGGGCGGCUUCCUCCAUGGGUGGCGGUUACCGGACAGAGGAACGUCUUCGCUGCCAGCACCUGAUGCCCGGUGCUGGCAGCCCAGCGCGGGAGUGAAGC